rnacentral:rRNA from 1 species
AUACAGAGGGUGCGAGCGUUAAUCGGAAUUACUGGGCGUAAAGCGCGCGUAGGCGGCUUAUUAAGUCAGAUGUGAAAUCCCCGGGCUCAACCUGGGAACUGCAUCUGAUACUGGUAAGCUAGAGUUUUGGAGAGGGAAGUAGAAUUUCAGGUGUAGCGGUGACAUGCAUAGAGAUCUGAAGGAAUACCAGUGGCGAAGGCGACUUCCUGGCCAAAAGCUGACGCUGAGGUGCGAAAGCGUGGGUAGCAAACGGGAUUAGAAACCCCAGUAGUCC